AAAAAUUACACCACUCCAGACCCUUUUGUUUUCCACAUAAUUAAUAUUGCCAAUAAUUAACAAAUUCCGGGUCGAAUCCGAUACCGAUACCAAUAGUAUAUUCACCUGUUAGCUAUUACCUUAUCUGUACGUUCCGCAUUUGACAGGCGCACCACCAAACGGUGUAGUUAGGAUUUUGCUAUAUACACGGGUCAUAAUCAAAGGGCUGAUACUACUAAAUUCAAUCAUUGUCAAAUUGUUCCCUAUUGUAGUUUUAUUCAGCAACCAGCACUUUCUAAGAUAACUAAUAUAGGACAAUGCUGUUGAUUAAAAAAUACUCCAUUCCUGGAUAGCCAGGACCUUUUGUUUUCCAAAUAAUUAAUAUUACCAAUAAUUGAUAAGUUCCAGGUCGACGGGUUCAAACAGAAAGAUUUGAAAGCAGAGAAAACUUUGUAUCUUAUAAUCGACAUGACUUUAUCAGAUGACAAUACUAAUUACUAAAAUAAGGCUUAGGCAUAGUUAUAUACUCUAAUUCAGUCACGGACCCGCGAUAUCACGGGUGUGUACUUGUAUUUUAUAAAUAUGUCGUUUGU
rnacentral:lncRNA from 1 species